rnacentral:rRNA from 1 species
UACAGAGGGUGCAAGCGUUGUUCGGAAUCAUUGGGCGUAAAGGGUGUGUAGGUGGCGCCGUAAGUCGGGUGUGAAAUUUCGGAGCUUAACUCCGAAACUGCAUUCGAUACUGCGGUGCUUGAGGACUGGAGAGGAGACUGGAAUUCAUGGUGUAGCAGUGAAAUGCGUAGAGAUCAUGAGGAAGACCAGUGGCGAAGGCGGCAUCCUGGACCGACAUUGACGCUGAUGAGCGAAAGCCAGGGGAGCAAACGGG